UGCUUCUUCUUCUUUCUUCUUCUUGUUUAGUGUAACCCUCUCCAUGCAAUCGAGCGUAAACGAGCUCAAAGGAAGAAGCGGCUCGAAUGUUAGAUGCGAGAAAAAGACGGAGACGAAGUAAUAAAGUGAUCUGCGAGAAGGACGACAACUGAAACGUCGAGAAGCAGAGCUGAGACGGUACAAAUAUCGCCGACGAUGAUGCCUUGCCUGCUUUUGCUCCUCCGUGGAGGUGAACAUUCCUCCAUUCAGAAUGAGAAAAUUGUUUUUCGUGAAGAAAACGGCGGCAAUGGUGGCCAUGGAUGCAGAGCAAGCAUACCAAGUUCAGGUUACUAGAAGAGGUUCCCAAAUUCCAGGUUUUACUGCUUAAAAGGUAUAUUAAUUUUAGUCAUUUUGAGUUUGAAGUAAGCAAAUAGGAAGGAAUUUGGAGGAUAAAGACGGCUUGUUGUAAGAGUUGAACUGGCACCUAAGCACCUGAUUUGGCGCCUAAGCUCCAAAAUCCAACAUUGAACUGACGCCUAAGUGGCAUAAUCCAGAGAAGACGACGCCUAAGUGCUAGAUUCUGGAGCCUAGGCCCCAUAAACAGUCAUUCAUCUAAAUGCAUUGGAUUUGGACGGAUUUUUAAAAGGAGGCCUAAGGAAACUCUUGGAAAUUCGGCCCUACAUUAUAAAAUAGAGAUUUUAGGCCAGAAUUGAAGGGGGGCAAAAAUGUGUAAGGUUGAGAAAGACUUAGGGAAGAUUUUUCUGUAAGAGUUGUAAAAUGA